CUUCCAUAGGCUUCAUGUGGGGUCCGGUUUCCGUGUUUUUUCACCUUUUUCAGGGCAGUGAGUCCUGAGUCAGGACCGAAGAGAAUGGAACAGGCGAGGAGAGGCGUUGGCCCCGGUGCCCAGAGGCGGCUGUGAGGCCCCCCCGAGCCCGUAGUUGACGGCAGUGCCCUCGUUCCCGCCCCGCCCGCCGCCUCUUCCAGCUCCGUUCUUCCCACCGACCGGUGACCCCGGUGACCGAGGCUGCGCCGAUGAGGCCCGCUCAGGAAGCAACCACAAGGAUCAGGUUUCAGAAGAUAAUGAGUUAAAUUGUGGAUGUGUGACCCUAAGAUACCUCAAGGUGGAGAUGGCACAUAGGUUCCCAUGGCAUUUGCAGAAAUGCUUAUGGACCUGUACAGGUGAAUGGAGGAUGUGCCAGACCUUCAUCCACCCCAGUUAUCACCCUGAUGGUUCUGCCACUCUCAUAUAAAGAAUGCUGGUGGCCUGAGAUUGUUCACCCAUCCUCCCUUCCUUGGGUCUGAAGUCCCUGUGAUUUCACCAAGGCCUAAGGUCUUGAACUCAGUCCCAGAUUAUAUGGAGCUCUUCCCAUUUCCAACAACUGAUGGAGAAAGAUGUGGAAGGAUGUCGUGGGCACAGGAUCCAGAAUGUCCAGACGACUGGAGGGACUUGUGGUUUUUACAGACGUGGUCAUACAUUUCUCUCAGGAGGAGUGGGGGCUCCUUGAUGAGGCUCAGAGACACCUGUACCACCAUGUGAUGCUGGAGAACUUUGCAGUUCUCUCAUGACUAGGUUGUUGGCAUGGAGCCCAGGAUGAGGAGCCAGCUUCAGAGCAAGGUGUUUCUAUAGAAGUGUCACUGGCCAGGACGCCAAAGCCAGGUCCCUCCAUCGGGAAUGCCCAGCCCUGUGGGACAUGCAGCUCACUCUUGAAAGACAUUCUGUCCCUGGCUGAGCAGGGUGGAAUGCACCCUGGGCAAGGACUAUACACUUGUGAGGUAAAGCUUUGCCAGCACCAAAAACGUCACAUUAGAGAGAAACUUUCCUGAAAGGACAAGGGGAGGCCUUCAUUUGUGAAAAACUGUACUGUCCACAUGACACAGAGGACCUUCACAUGCAGGGAAGGAGGGAAGGACUUCCCAGCCAGCACAGGCCCUCUCCAGCACCAGCCUCUUCAUGGUGUGGGAAAGCCACAUGGGGACAUUGCAGAUGGAGAGGACUUUCAAAAUGGGCAAAGUGCUUACAAGUGCACUCAGUGUGGGAAAGCCUUCAGCCAUAACCAUACACUUGUUGACCAAGAGAAGAUCCACACUGGAGAAUAGUUUUAUGAGCAUAGGGAAUGUGGGAAGGCCUUUCUUAGAAAGUCCCACCACGAGCAGCAUCAGAAAGUCCACACUGAGCCUGGGCUUUAUGAGCACUCAGAAUGUGGAGUAUUCGUUACAGAAAUAUCUGGCCUCAAUGACUACCAGAGAAUUCACACAAGGCCAAGGCCUUUUGAGUGCAGCCUUCUUUAGACCGUCCCAACUCGUUGGUCACCAGAAAAUCCACACUGAAGAAAGAACUUACGGUGGUAGUGAGUGUGGAAAAUUCUUUAGGAACUGUUCCACACUCAUUAGACACCAGAGAGUUCACACUGGAGAAAGGCCUUUUGAGUGCACUGAAUGCAGGAGAGCCUUCACCUGCAAAUAUAGGCUUGUUGAGUACCAGAAAAUCCACAGUGGUGAAAAGACUGUUUCAGCCACAAAGACACAGUUGUUGAGCACCAGAAAAUCCACACUGGAGAAAGGCCUUACAAGUGCAGUGAAUGUGGGAAAUUCCUUAUGGACAGCUCUUCACUCAUUAUUCAUUAGAAAGUUCACACUGGACAAAGACGUUAUGAGUACGGCAAAUGUGGAAAAAAAUUUUUUUAAUUUAUUUAUUUUUGGCUGCUUUGGGUCUUUGUUGAUGCACGCGGGCUUUCUCUAGUUGUGGGGAGCGGGGGCUACUCUUUGUUGUGGUGCACGGGCUUCUCAUUAUGGUGUCUUCUCUUGUUGUUGAGCACGGGCUCUAGGGCACGUGGGCUUCAAUAGUUGCAGCGCAUGGGCUCAGUAGUUGUGGUUCGUGGGCUCUAGAGCUCAGGCUCAGUAGUUGUGGCACACAGGCUUAGUUGCUUCACGGCAUGUGGGAUCUUCCUGGACCAGGGCUCGAACCCGUGUCCCCUGCAUUGGCAGGAGGAUUCUUAAUCACUGCGCCACGAGGGAAGCCCCAAAUGUGGAAAAUUCUUUAGGUACCGCUACACCCUUAUUAGACAUCAGAGAAAUCAUACUGGAGAAAGGCCUUAUGAGUGCAUCGAUGUACGAAAUCCUUUUGUUGCAGCUCCACACUCAUUAGACAUUGGACAAAUCCCACCGGAGAAAGGCCUUAUUAGUGCAGCUAAUGUGGGAAAUUUUUGUAGUAAAACUCCAGAGUCAGUACACACUAGCGAGUUCACGUUGAUGUGAGGCAUUAUAAGAACAGCAAAUAAGGGAACAUCUUUACAUACAGCUCUGGUCUUGUUAAACACUGUUGAAUUUACACCAGAGAAAUGCCUUCUGAGUGCAGUGAGUGCUGGAAAGUCUGUAGUCAAAACUUCCAUUCAUUUGGCUCCAAAAAGUUCACACCAGAGAAAGAACUUAUGAAGGAAGCAAAUGGGGAAAGGACUUCAGCCGAAAGUCUGCUCUGAUUGGCACUGUGAAGUACAUAUUAUGUACUUUUGGGUUUUCUUUUCCUUCUUAUUGUGUUAAAAUACACACACAUAAAACUUGCCAUCUUUUAAGUAUUUUAGUGUGCCGUUCAGUACCGUGAGGUACAUUCACACUGUUGUGCAACCUAAUCUCCAGAGCUCCUCUUGUUUUGCAAAAAUGAAACCCUGUACUCAUUAAAUAACAACUCGUACUCCUCUCCUUCUCCAGCCCCUGGAAACCACUAUUCUCUGUCUCCUUGAAUUUGAGUGCCCCAGCUGCCUCAUGUAAGAAGAAUCAUACAGUUUUUGUAGUUUUGUGAAGACUUCAUUUACCAGAAUCUCACAUUUCACGUAUCACAUGUUCUGUUUCAGAAGUCCUUUCCUUUUUAAGCCUGAGUUAUACUCCAUUGUAUGCAUAUACACAUCUUUAUCCAUUCAUCUGGUGAUGAAGACUUCCCUUGUUUCCAUAUUUUAGCUGUUGUAAAGAGUGCAGCUGUGAGAACGACUGCACAAAUAUCUCCUUGAGAUCCUGUUUUCAGUUAUUUUCAGUGUAUAGCCAGAAGUGGAAUUCCUGGAUCAUAUGGUCAUUUUUUUUAAAAAAUUUAUUUUUGGCUGCAUUGGGUCUUCAUUGCUGCACACGGCCUUUCUCUAGUUGUGGAGUGCGGGCUUCUCAUUGCAGUGGCUUCUCGUUGUGAAGCACCAGCUCUAGGCACGUGGGCUUCAGUAGUUGUGGCUCGCAGGCUCAGUAGUUGUGGCAUACGGGCUUAGUUGCUUCGUGGCAUGUGGGAUCUUCCCAGACCAGGGCUCAAACCCGUGUCCCCUGCAUUGGCAGGCAGAUUCUUAACCACUGCACCACCAGGGAAGUCCCCAAUCUAUUUUUAACAUUUUGAACUCUUUCCUUUAUUGGCUAUACCAUUUUAUGCUCCCAUCAAACGUCCACAGAGUUCCAGUAUCUCCACAUCCUCAUUGACAUAAUUCUAUUUUCCGUUUCAUGUUUAAUAGUAGCUAUCCUAAUGGAUGUGAGGUAAUAUCUCACUGUAGUUUUGUUUAUUUUAUUUUAUAUAUAUAUUUUUUAUGGCUGCGUCGGGUCCUAGUUGCAGCAUGCGGGCUCUUUGUUGUGGCACAUGGGCUUCUCUAGUGUGGCAUGCAGAUUUUCUCUUCUCUAGUUGUGGCCCGUGGGCUUCUCUCUAGGUGUGGUGUGCAGGUUUUCUGUUCUUUAGUUGUGGCGCGUGGGCUCCAGAGCAUAUGGGCUGUAUAGUUGUGGCAUGCAGGCUCCAGAGCGUGUGGGCUCUGUAGUUUGCAGCAUGCGGGCUCUCUAGUUGAGGAGCGCGAGCUCAGUAGUUGUGAUGCGUGGGCUUAGUUGCCCUGUGGCAUUUGGGAUCUUAGUUCCCCAACUAGGGAUCGAACUCACAUCCCCUGCAUUGCAAGGUGGAUUCUUUACCACUGGACCACCAGGGAAGUUCCCUUACUGUAGUUUUGUUUAGCAUUUCCCUAAUGAUUAAUGAUCAUGUCUUCUUGGCCAUUUGUGUAUAUUCUUUGUAAAAAUCUCUAUGUUUACCCCUUUAAAAUUUUUCUUAUUGGUGAGUUUUAGCAGUUCUUUAUAUAAUCUGGAUACUGACCACUUAUCAAAUAUAUGAUUUGCAAAUGCUUUUCUUCCAUUCAGUAGCUUGCCAUUUCACUCUGUUGAUUGUGUCCUUUGCACAGAAGUUUGUACCCUUAUUUUUGCUUUUGUUUCCUAUGCUUUUCAUGUCAAUGCCAAGAAGUUAUAAAUCCAAUGUCAUGAAGCGUUUCCCCUAUGUCUUCAUCUAAGAGUUUUUGAGCUUACAUCGUACUGUCAGGUCUUUGUUUAUUUUGAGUUCAUUUUUGGGUGUGGUGUAAGGUAAGGGUCCAACUUCAUUCAUUUGAAUGCAGAUAUCCACUGUAAUUUGUUGGAGAGACUGUCCUCCUCCCAUUGAAUUGCGUUGGCACUCUUGUUGAUUAUUUGAUCAAAUAUACUGUCUUACAGUUUGGGGCACUCUGUUCUGUUUCAUUGGCCUAAAGUUUUGUGUUUAUGGCAGUACCAGUGUUUUGUUUUUGCUUUUUAAAAAUUUUUAUUACAAUGUAGUUAAUUUACAAUGUUGUGUUAGUUUCAGGUGUACAGCAAAGUGAAUCAGUUAUUCGUAUACAUAUAUCCACUCUUUUUUAGAUUCUUUUCCCAUAUAGACAAUUACAGAGUUUUGAGUAGAGUUCCCUGUGUUAGACAGUAGCUCCUUAUUAGUUAUAUUUCAGUUUUGAGUCCCUGGCUUGAUGUUAGUCAUUUCCUCUUUUAGAGCAGCAGCUGAUUAAGACCACAACCAAUCACUGUCUAUAUCAGGCACUCACACUCUGGACACCAUCCCUUAUGUCCCAGGGCCAGGAAACCAGGCAACUGGAGACAGCCUGUAUGCCCCUGACCCCAUGAAAUUAUUCCAGCUAGGUCAUCCAUGGGGAGCCUGGGAAACCUAGGUAGCCCCAGACCACCUGCUAUAUAUAGGGUGCUCCCUACAGCCCCAGGUUACUUACUGUGUCCCUGUACAGCCUGUUGUGUGCCCUGCCUGAUGCCCUUGUCUCAUCCUAAGCCCUAGGUAACAGAAUUCUUCUUAUCUACCCAAGUGUCAUCAAGAACUUUUAAAUCUUACAAAACAACUACAAACCCAGAAGAGUGUUAGGAAUGCAGUGAAUGUUGAAAGUUAUUCAGCUAUUAGCCUAAACUCAAACAGCACUGGUAAAUUUAAAUCGGAGAAACAUCUUCGGAGUGCAGGCAACAUGCUGUUUCCUUGUUCUACGUAAUUACAGAGCGACAUUUGGAGAUUAGUCUUUGUGAAAGAGAACUCAGCCAUAAAUUGAACUUCAUGCCUCCAGACAUCCCAGGAAGAUUCUCUUAAGUACCAAGUAUAUUGGAAGCUUUCAUGAUAACACCUUGCACUUCCGGACCUGCCUGGAGUCCUUGCCAGAAAUAAGUUGUUACCAGUAUCUGUUAUGUUAGCCUUCCCUCCUCUGCCACACGGCAGGGUGCCGCACUGUGUAUGAAUCAUCCUUACAGUGCUUGGGAGGCAGGAAGCUACACUUUCUUCCUUCAUCUGGAGGACUCACCCGUCUCUUGACUUUUGGGGUAUCUCAUUCACUUCCCACUGAUUGUUUUGGGUGGGAUAUUACCCAGUUCUGGACAAGAGGACUCCAGCUGGCUUCUGCAGGCAGCUUGUGGAGAUUUCACUUCUUCGUGAGUAUAUUUGAUUGACUUGUAAUGGUUGGGUUGAUUUUUCCACCCUCAGAGUCACCCGACCCAGGACUAUCAGCAGAGCUUAGAAGGGUUUGAAUUCCGCUCUAUCCCCAGAAUCAAAGCUCUCAGACACCAGGGAACACUACCCUGCUCACCUGUCCCAUGACUCCAAGAUUCAACCCUUCUCUCACUCAUGAACUCAGGAUACAUUUCUGCCAUAGCAGUAGAAUUUUUUCACUGCAUGCACCUGCUUUCACAUAUGUGUACCAUACUUAAUGACGAGCUCCUUCCCUGCUCAAGGGCAGGACCCAUAUCUCUGUCAUCCAUAUCAUCCCACUACUCAGAACACAGUGCUUGGUGGGUGGAGCAGCAAGGCCACAGCCAGACCCUCUGAGUGACCACAGAUAUGAAGACAAGGCAGAGAAAACUGGAUGGUGAGAGAAUGAACCCUAGUGGGUCCUUCACCCACUGGGAUGCAUCUCAUAUGUCUUGCAGUUUGGGGCCCAGGUCCCUUUAUGGACCACCUUGUCCCAAGGAGCUCCCAGUUAUGGAAAGAAUAACCCUCUGCUUUGAACCAAGAAUUGUUUCCUGAGAGUGGAUUCUCUGACUCUCAUGGAUCCCAAGGCUCAGAUUCAUGUACAGCUACAGCUACAACCCAGACAAUUAUCUUGAGAGGAGAUAUAAGAGGGUAGUGUCUUCAAAACGCAACUUAACUUUCCUACAGAAUACAGGAACCACACAAGCUAUUCUCAAAACAUUAUAAAUUUAGCGGAAAAAAUGAUGUUUUUUCUCACUGAGAGCCGUGUGUGCAGUAACAAUAUUGGAUAAAACACAACAUAAAGGGUUCGUGUCCACCUUGGCAACACAAAAGUAUGUAUUUGAUUAUAUAAAAGGCUCCAAGGAGGGCUCAACUGAACAGUACAUUUUUUUAAACCAAAGGUCAUAUUGAUUAUUUCAUGCAGCUUUGAAAUUAGUCCCAAAGACAGUCCCAAGGGAGGAAUUUCAACACAACCUGACUGAUAAGAGCAUCCUGAGAAUAAGACCACAGUAGUAACUGUGAAACCCAUACGUGGCUACCUGUAUGCAUCCUGGUUUUCCUGUUAAAGUUCCAGUCACUUUACAAUGUUUCACAGAAACUUUUUUUCCCCUGCAAAAAGCGCUAUUUUUUCCAUUUGGCCCAAGGCUUGGAGAGGGCUCCAGGGUGGUUAACAAGCUGCCCAGUGGCUGCAGGGACAGGCUUCAGGGAGAAGCCCUGACCCCAGAGGGGCUCCUCACAGGCCGCUGGGCUCCAGGGGCUCCUAGUGGUGCCUGAGGCUGAGCCUUUGGAAGAAACAUUCGCCCAGCCCAGCCUGGGGGCCGAGCAGCCUGCGGAGGUUGGUCAGGUGGUCGCCAAUCUUCUUGAUGAAUUUCACCUGCUCAUCCAGGAAGUGGCUCCAGGAAGUCCAGAGGUGGAGUCUGCGCGGGCAGAGCCCAGGGCCUGCGGACCCACAGGGCCUGGCGCAGGUUCUUCUCCGUCAGCCGGGCGGCUUCCACGGCGUCCUGGGCUUUCCCCACGCUCCUGGGACGGCUUCGGCACGUCCUGGAAGAGGGCGCGGCCACAGCGCUGCUUUUGCCUUUUCCAGUGAGCUCGGGCCCUCCGACUCCUCCUCGGCCAGUUCGCGAAACAAUGUCUCACGCCCUCGAGAAGCGCAGAGACAGUUGCAGUUCAGCACAUAGAAAAUUAGAAACGCCCGUCUACUCAGGAGUAAAGACUUCAAGAAACACCAGGAAGAGGAAAGACUUAGGACUCACCUGGGAUGACAACACAGCUACAUGAUCAUCCUCACCCUUCUGGGUAAAAUACAAACUUCCCAAACAAUGGCUAACAAUCCAGGGAAAUAAUUCCUCCCUUUGCCAAACCAUCCUUGAUCCGCUGUCCCUGAAACUUCCUCAACGCAUACGGACCCUCCAGUAGAGACCAUAACCUCCCCCAACUCUGUCCCCUUCAGACUGUGAUUCCUGGGCCUUGUUAGCAGGCAUUUCGGAUAUAGUUUUCUGCUACCAGGGCUUGGGCUGAUUUGCUUCCAUCACGUGACCUUUAGUGUUUACAUUCGGUCUUCAAACGUGUGAGACUGCAGGUUGUGGCAAGAUGAGCACCCAGCUCCUGUUCUGGCUGCCAUCAGCACAUCAUCAAACCUACAGUUACUAAUAAAAAGACAUUUUAAUCAAAGAAGACAAUACACCUGGCAAAGAACACAGGAAUGUUCAACAUCAUGAAUCACUAGAGAAAUGCAUGAGACCACAGUGAGUCCCACAGAGAGCCCUGCACUCUACCCCAGAAGGCCUUGGACAACGAUGCAAAAUGGGCCAGAACUGGAGUGAAAACUAUUCUCUGCCAUGAUACUACCCCCAGUGAGGUAUACUAAGUUUGGAACACCCACAAAACCUGUUCCUGUGUCCUGUCCUAGCCAGUUGAUGGAAGAGAAUGACAAAACCCACGUGCUCAGGGAAUCCAUGCUUUUCUACAGGGGAUACGAGAGCACAAAAGGCUACCUACCCUGAUCACACUUAGAUGACUGAGUCCCAGUAUGGGGAUCUGCCACUUGGAAAAGUGUGACUGUCUUCUUAAGGCCUCUCUCCUGUGUGGACUCUCUCAUGCUCUGCAAGCCUAUACAUCCAGGGGUAGGCUUUCCCACACUCAUAGCACUUAUAGAGACUUUUACCAUUGUGAAACACUGCUGUGCAGUCAGCAUCCUUUUGUGGAGUGACCUGGUGCUGGAGAAGGCUAGAGCUACCAGGGAAAUCCAUCCCAGCCUCCUGGCAUGUGAAGGAGUUCUUGGCUGCAUGGACUAUGUGGCUCCUCAUAAAGGCCUUACCCCUGUCUCUUCUAAAGAGUUUCCCUCCUCUGUGCUGGUGAAAUUUCACACCUGACACACACAGUUUCUGGCCAGGAAUUGUUCCCAGGUCUUCACCUAGAGGCAAACUUACUGUUUAAGGCCAGGCUACACAUCUUCCAGGGACAGGACUUUGGAUGGACAGGUCUCUGAAGUAUUUAUUCAUGGCACUUCUACAGAAACAUUCUGCUCAGAAAUUAUCUCCUUGUGCUCUGCUCCAUGCCAACAAACUGAAAGCAGAGAAAUGACACAAUGUUGGGGGGAGUGCACACAGAAAUGAGGUACACAGUCACUGGCUUUGGCACCAAAACACUGUGGGGCACAGGACAUGAUCCUGAUAUAAUUUGAACCCCUGAUGCCAAAUCAAUGGGGCCAAGCCCACUUUGAACCCCUCAUGCUGGGGCUUGGAGUCAUGUCCACUCUGUCAUGUCCCAGGGUUCACCUCCCAGCUCCAGUUGGACAACAACAUGGAACCUAGAAAAUGCAAGUCCUAAGGGAAAGACAGGACAGGUGAACAGUCAGUACUAGCCCAGGAGAACAACCAAUCCCCCAAAAAACCUGAGGAAAGAAAAACAGUGUCACAAAAAGAACCAGUGUCCCUGCUGGAUCCCAACAAUUCCUGGUACAGUCAGGGCCCAGGAAAUAUCAGCUGGAAGGGGGCAGAACCUAGCGCACAGAGGUGUGUGGGUCUACAGAGUCAACUUAGCAGGGAGUGGCUGAGACUGAUGGAACCCACUGAACUAAUUCCAAGUCUUAUGACCCAGAAAAACUUCACUGAAAAAACUUCAGAGCUGCUGGUACUGGGGAUACUUCUGAAAGGAGGUCGUACUCAUUCAGCCUUGGCACCAAUAACACAGAUGAGAGGGAAGCAGUAAUAGAGAUGUGCCCACUGUCUAGGAGUCUGUGAAAAAACAGACUUGCCUUUGGAAAAGGGAAAGGCAGAGACCUGCCCAGGAUGCUGGGAUAGGUGGGAGGGCCUUACCCAAUGAUGCAACAAGUGCAAAGGGCUCCAGGAUCACAUCACGGCACAGGAAUCUCUGGGCCUCAUCAAGAAGCUUCCAUUCCUCCUGGGAAAAGUACCCAGCCACGUCCUCAAAAGUCACAGGGCCCUGUGAUGAUGGGACAGAUUUGUACAUAAGCAGCCUCUCUCCCCAGGACCCCAUAAGUACUUCUAAACCCAGCCCAUACUCUGGGUUCAUCAUCCACCCCAGCUCCGUGACUUAGAGGGCAGUGGGCCCAAUAACUCUUCAUGCUUCCUUUAUCAGUAUGUAUGACCCUGAGCAACAACAGGCAGGUGGACAGAGAGAUACCAUGUAAUCUGUGAGCCUGGUAUGCAGGGCCCUUUCCCUUUCCUCCAAGACAACAGCCUGAGUGUACUCACUAUCAUGUCUCCCAGAUACAAGCAAACUUAGCCCCAUCCUUCUCUCUUAUACUUCUAGUACUAGGGCUUGGGGCAAUUACUUCACACACUUUCCUCACAUGCAUAUUACUCACUGAACCUCCUCAUACAUUACAUGUCUACCAUCAUUCUCAGAACAGAAACCUCAUGCUACCAUUCUAAUUCUGCCCCUCUUGCUCUCUGUCCUUAUCAGUUGUUAACAGACCUACAUGUCCUAGAGCACUCCCAUCACAAUCACAUCCUCAAGCAUUUGUAUAUACUAGCCCCAUUACUAAGACAACCUUUCAUGUCUCAGUCCGCUGGCUGCCAAAAAUGGGAAUCUGUCCAUAAAACCUAGGAUCUACAGACACCAAGUCCAUGAAGACACCUGACACCAGUGCAGGGGCCAUAAAUGGUUCUGCUGAGCGAACCAUUUAAUAUUUCAGGCAAAGACAAAUACUCAAGAGAAAAAUAAAGCAUGUAAAAGAGGGCAGAAAAUGUUAUAGAGUUGUGCCAUAAGGUCAUGUGGAUACCUUGAGAAAAGGCUGUCCAGAAGUGGGACAAAAAAGUGCAAAGCCUCUCUAUCAGAGUCAUGUCUGGUGUGUAUGAACAGCAUCCACAAGGCUAGUGUGACUGGAGCCCAUUGAGCCAGAAGAAUAAGGGAUUGUGUUGGAGAGGAAAUGGUUCUUUUCAAAUUUUACUUUGGUUAUAUUAAAAAUUAUUACUUUAUAAAAAUCUCCACCUUACAUAAUCCAUAGAUUAAAUUCUGAUUUGGAAUUAUGCUAACAUUACAUAAUAGGAUUCAAGAAUAUAUACUUUUUAUACUUAUCCACCAUAUUCUUUGAUAUAUCCAUUUUUUUCCCCCAUACCUGUUCAGAGAGACUAUCUGUAAUUUCCUACUAGAUUUCUUCUCCAGGGGUAGAGAUCAUGAACCACAAUUUACUGAAUUCACACUGAAUAUGACUCUCUGGAAAAGGGAUUCUUGCCAGAAUCAAAGUGCUUGGCCUCCAGCACUUGGGGAUAACUGGGCAUCAUUGCUGACUCUUUAAACUUAAGAGAACUGCAACAAGCUAUAGGACUUGACCUCUAGUCCAUCUGCAUUGUAGAAACACAGAAAUACCUUAUUGAGUUCUUAACAUCUUGCAUUAUCACUUUUUACACUUACAAUGUCACUUACAAUGACAAAAAGUGAUAAUGACAAAGCAUUAUCACUUUUUACACUUACAAUGAUUCAUUUUAUCACCCUUAAAACAAGUAUUUUAACAAGAUAGCUUAAUCAUUUAUGAUUUUCCACUAAAAUAAGUAUUAUUCAGGAACUUCCCUGGUGGUCCAGUGAUUAAAAAUCUGCCUUCCAAUGCAGGGGAUGCAGGUUGGAUCCCACAUACUGUGGUGGGGCAACUGAGCCCAUGUGCUUCAACGAAAGAUCCUGUGUGCUGCAACUAAGACCUGACACAGCCAAAAAUAAAUAAAACAAUACAUAAGCAUUAUUUGAAGAGUACAAUCACAUUCUACCUGAAAAAGAAUUCAGAGUAAUGAUAGUAAAGAUGAUUCAAAAUCUCAGAAAAAGAAUGGAAACAGAUGGAGAAGAUACAAGAAAUGUUUAAAAGAAAGGUAGAUUUGAUGAACAAUACAAUACCUGAAAUGAAAAAUACACUGGAGGGAUUCAAUAGCAGGAUAACUAAGGUAGAAGAACGACUAAGUGAGCUUGGAUGACAGAGUGGUGGAAAUAACAACAUUUAAUGAACCAACAUUUGCAUUAUAAGGGUCGAAGAAGAGAAAGGGAAAGGGCCUGAGAAAAUAUUUGAGGAGAUUACAGCCGAAAACAUCCCUAACAUGGGAAAGGAAACACCCGAGUCCAAGAAGUGCAGAGUCCCAUACAGGAUAAACCCAAGGAGAAACACACCAAAACACAUAUUAAUCAAACUGAUACAAAUUAAACACAAAGGAAAAAUAUUAAAAGCAGCAAGGGAAAAGCAACAAAUAACACACAAAGGAAUGAUAACCAUAAGGCUAUAUCAGCUGAUUUUUCAACAGAAACUCUGCAGGCCAAAGUGGCACAAUAUAUAUUUAAAUGGUGAAAGGGAAAAAACCUACAACCAGCAAUACUCUACUCAGCAAGGCUUUCAUUCAGAUUAGAUGGAGAAAUUAAAAGCUUUACAGACAAGACAAGCAAAAGCAAAGAGAAUUCAGCACCACCAGACCAACUUUGCAAAAAGUGCUAAAAGAACUUCUCUAGGCAGAAAAGAAAAGGUCACAACUAGAAACAAGAAAAUCACAAAAGGGAAAGCUCAUCAGUAAAGGCAAACAGACAGUAAAAGAAGGAAACCAAAAAAAAAAAAAAAAAAAAAAAGAAGGAAACCAUCCACACACGAAAUAUGAUAUCAAAACAGCAACCAUGAGGAGUACAAAUGCAGGAAAUGGGAAUUGCGUUUGAAAUUAAGACACCAGCACCUCAAAACAAUCCUGUACAUACAUAGACUGCUAUAUAAAAACCACAUAGAUGCAGGGGACACGGGUUCAAGUCCUGGUCGGGUAAGAUCGCACAUGCCAUGGAGCAAGUAAGCCUGUGUGCCACAACUACCGAGUGUGCACUCUAGAGCCCCCAAGCCACAAUUACUGAGCUCACGUGCCUAGAGCCAAUGCUCUGCAAUGAGAAGCCAUGUAAAUGAAAAGCCUGCACACUGCAAUGAAGAGUAGCUCCCAAUUGCCGCAACUAGAGAAAGCCCGCACACAGCAACAAACACCCAACUCAGCCAAAAAGAAAAAAAACAUACAGGCAGACUGCAAACCAAAAAAUUACAAUAGGUUCAAAAAAAGAAAAAAAAAAAAACCCAAA